rnacentral:rRNA from 1 species
AGUCGAGCGGGGGUAGCAAUACCCUAGCGGCGAACGGGUGAGGAAUGCUUGGGAAUCUGCCUCGUAGUGGGGGAUAACGUUCCGAAAGGAACGCUAAUACCGCAUACGUCCUACGGGAGAAAGGGGGGGAUCUUCGGACCUCUCGCUAUGAGAUGAGCCCAAGCGGGAUUAGCUAGUUGGUGAGGUAAAGGCUCACCAAGGCGACGAUCCCUAGCUGGUCUGAGAGGAUGAUCAGCCACACUGGAACUGAGACACGGUCCAGACUCCUACGGGAGGCAGCAGUGGGGAAUAUUGGACAAUGGGCGAAAGCCUGAUCCAGCCAUGCCGCGUGUGUGAAGAAGGCCUUCGGGUUGUAAAGCACUUUAAGCGAGGAGGAAGGUUCGUUACUUAAUACGUAACGGAAUUGACGUUACUCGCAGAAUAAGCACCGGCUAACUCUGUGCCAGCAGCCGCGGUAAUACAGAGGGUGCAAGCGUUAAUCGGAAUUACUGGGCGUAAAGCGCGCGUAGGCGGUUGCGUAAGUUGGAGGUGAAAUCCCCGGGCUCAACCUGGGCAUUGCCUUCAAAACUGCGCAGCUAGAGUAUUGGAGAGGAAGGUAGAAUUCCAGGUGUAGCGGUGUAAUGCGUAGAGAUCUGGAGGAAUACCGAUGGCGAAGGCAGCCUUCUGGCCAAAUACUGACGCUGANGUGCGAAAGCAUGGGGAGCAAACAGGAUUAGAUACCCUGGUAGUCCAUGCCGUAAACGAUGUCAACUAGGUGUUGGGGAACUUGAUUCCUUAGUGCCGCAGCUAACGCAUUAAGUUGACCGCCUGGGGAGUACGGUCGCAAGACUAAAACUCAAAUGAAUUGACGGGGGCCCGCACAAGCGGUGGAGCAUGCGGUUUAAUUCGAUGCAACGCGAAGAANCUUACCUACUCUUGACAUCCAGANAAUCCUGUAGAGAUACGGGANUGNC